rnacentral:lncRNA from 1 species
AUGUAUCAUUCUCAGACUUUGACCAGGGGACAACUGCUACUUAUCUUCUGUACAUUUAAAGAAAAAUCCCUGAAACCUGUAAAAGGUAAGCUCCACCCAACCUUGUCAAGACAACUCAACCCUGCUCCUGUACUUUCUGAAGUUCAAGACAGUGACAGUAAUCCUCAGCCUGAGGGUCAGCAUCAGUGCUACUGCCCAAGUAUCCCUUACAAGAAUGGGAGAGUGACAGCACAGGAUCUGGCAGAGAGCCCGGGACAAGGACUGAUAACUGGUAACAUGGACAGAUUACUUCAUCCUGGUCAGGUACUAUGCUAAGC